UAAAAUCCUUGAUUAACCAGCACAUGUGGCAACGUAGUAGUCAAUGAGACAAGUCACUUGUUAAGGUUUAGCAUGUUAUUCAAGUUAAUGUUCAAAUUGUAGACUAUUAUUUCGCGAUCCAAAAGAUCAAGUACAUCAAUCCCAAUGUUUGUGAUUCGAACAUAGGGGACAUAAACAUGUCGAACAACAGCCUAUGGAAUAGCAUAUUGCUCUAGCAGCUCUCCAUGGUUAUAAGCCUCAACUUGUUUGAGAUUUUUAUUGGUCGUGUUUGACUUAGGGGGGAAUGUUAUACCU
rnacentral:lncRNA from 1 species